rnacentral:rRNA from 1 species
GACGAACGCUGGCGGCGUGCUUAACACAUGCAAGUCAAACGAUGAAGCCGGAGCUUGCUCUGGUGAAUUAGUGGCGAACGGGUGAGUAACACGUGAGUAACCUGCCCUUGACUCUGGGAUAACUGCGGGAAACUGUAGCUAAUACCGGAUACGACCCUCGGAGGCAUCUCCUGGGGGUGGAAAGAAUUUCGGUCAAGGAUGGACUCGCGGCCUAUCAGCUAGUUGGUGAGGUAAAGGCUCACCAAGGCGACGGCGGGUAGCCGGCCUGAGAGGGUGACCGGCCACACUGGGACUGAGACACGGCCCAGACUCCUACGGGAGGCAGCAGUGGGGAAUAUUGCACAAUGGGCGCAAGCCUGAUGCAGCAACGCCGCGUGAGGGAUGACGGCCUUCGGGUUGUAAACCUCUUUUAGCAGGGAAGAAGCGAAAGUGACGGUACCUGCAGAAAAAGCACCGGCUAACUACGUGCCAGCCGCCGCCGUAA